rnacentral:rRNA from 1 species
UACGUAGGGUGCGAGCGUUAAUCGGAAUUACUGGGCGUAAAGCGUGCGCAGGCGGCGCGUUAAGACAGGUGUGAAAGCCCCCGAGCUUAACUUGGGAAUUGCGCUUGUGACUGGCGAGCUGGAGUGUGGCAGAGGGAGGUGGAAUUCCACGUGUAGCAGUGAAAUGCGUAGAGAUGUGGAGGAACACCGAUGGCGAAGGCAGCCUCCUGGGCCAGCACUGACGCUCAUGCACGAAAGCGUGGGGAGCAAACAGG